rnacentral:tRNA from 1 species
CGCUGGCCACGGCGUGCUUGACCGCCUCGUUGCUGCCAAGACUCGCCCGCACGGUGAGGGUGGCCGGUGCGACGCCGGCGCUGGUCA